GACGCCGACGUCCUGGGAAAGGGAACGGCGCCAUUUGAUUUCACAGAAAACGGAAACGCAGUGAUGAAGCCCAGCCCCUGGCCCUCGCCCUCCCUCCACGGCUGUCUCGGGCCCCCCUCGCCCCUCGCGGGAGCCAGGGCACGCGGGCCUUCAACCGCCGAGGCCCCCGCCGCCCUUCUGGACUUUUAUCGAGGCAUGUACAUUAAUACGAAAGAGAGUUUGCCAUUUACCUGCAAGAUUGAGGGCGACAACGUAAGAGGAAUGGUUUUAAGUGACGCGUCCGGCUUCUUACUCCCACUGAAGGGUGAAGGUGCCCCAGGUGGACCUGGUUUGGAUUCUGAUGUAAAGAAACCGACUUCAAAACAUUUGGGCCAAUCAGGAAAAUACGAAAACUCUGACUACAUAUUUAGUGAUAUCUAGAAUUAUUGUUAAUAGUUUAAGAUGGAGUCUUGCCCUGUCACCCAGGCUAGAGUGCAGUGGUGCAAUCUUGGCUCACUACAGCCUCCACCUCCAGGGUUCAAGCAAUUCUCAUGCCUCAGCCUCCCAAGUAGCUGGGAUUACAGGUAUGUGCCAUCACACCUGGCUAAUUUUUGUAUUUUUAGUGGAGACAGGGUUUU
rnacentral:antisense_RNA from 1 species